UUGCGANUGGCCGCAGGCUGACGCAGCGACGCCGCGUGUGGGAUGACGGCCCUCGGGUUGUAAACCACUGUCAGGGGGGACGAAUACGGGGCCUCAAAUAGGGGACCCUGGGUGACGGUACCUCCAAAGGAAGCACCGGCUAACUCCGUGCCAGCAGCCGCGGUAAUACGGAGGGUGCGAGCGUUGUCCGGAAUCACUGGGCGUAAAGGGCGCGUAGGCGGUUCGUUAAGUUGCUGGUGAAAUCCCGGGGCUCAACUCCGGGGCUGCCGGCAAGACUGGCGGGCUCGAGCACGGUAGAGGCAGAUGGAAUUCCCGGUGUAGCGGCGGAAUGCGUAGAGAUCGGGAAGAAUACCGGUGGCGAAGGCGUUCUGCUGGGCCGUUGCUGACGCUGAGGCGCGACAGCGUGGGGAGCAAACAGGAUUAGAUACCCUGGUAGUCCACGCCGUAAACGAUGGACACUAGGCGUCGGGGGGAGCGACCCUCCCGGUGCCGUCGCUAACGCAGUAAGUGUCCCGCCUGGGGAGUACGGCCGCAAGGCUGAAACUCAAAAAAAUUGACGGA
rnacentral:rRNA from 1 species